GACGAACGCUGGCGGCGUGCCUAAUACAUGCAAGUAGAACGCUGAAGGAGGAGCUUGCUCUUCUGGAUGAGUUGCGAACGGGUGAGUAACGCGUAGGUAACCUGCCUGGUAGCGGGGGAUAACUAUUGGAAACGAUAGCUAAUACCGCAUAAGAGUAGAUGUUGCAUGACAUUUGCUUAAAAGGUGCAAUUGCAUCACUACCAGAUGGACCUGCGUUGUAUUAGCUAGUUGGUGGGGUAACGGCUCACCAAGGCGACGAUACAUAGCCGACCUGAGAGGGUGAUCGGCCACACUGGGACUGAGACACGGCCCAGACUCCUACUGGAGGCAGCAGUAGGGAAUCUUCGGCAAUGGACGGAAGUCUGACCGAGCAACGCCGCGUGAGUGAAGAAGGUUUUCGGAUCGUAAAGCUCUGUUGUAAGAGAAGAACGAGUGUGAGAGUGGAAAGUUCACACUGUGACGGUAUCUUACCAGAAAGGGACGGCUAACUACGUG
rnacentral:rRNA from 1 species